rnacentral:lncRNA from 1 species
UGUAAUUUUUCUUUAAAUUUAAUUAUCUCAUUUGUUAAUUUUGUUUUUUGUUCUUUUUCUCUUUGUUUAAUUUCAUACAUUUCUUUUAAUAUUGCUAGCUCUUUUUCUAGUUCUAUUAUUUUAGUAUUUUUUACUUCUUCUAAUUGUUGUACUUCCUUUUUUGCUUGUUGUUUUAUUUUUUCAAUUUCCGUUUUUCUAUCUAUUUCUUCAUUUUCUUUUGUUAUUCUUAUCAUAGCAGUUAAACUAUCUUCUAG